rnacentral:rRNA from 1 species
UACAGAGGUCCCAAGCGUCGUUCGGAUUCAUUGGGCGUAAAGGGUGCGUAGGCGGCGCGGUAAGUCGGGUGUGAAAUCUCGGAGCUUAACUCCGAAACUGCAUUCGAUACUGCCGUGCUUGAGGACUGGAGAGGAGACUGGAAUUUACGGUGUAGCGGUGAAAUGCGUAGAUAUCGUAAGGAAGACCAGUGGCGAAGGCGGGUCUCUGGACAGUUCCUGACGCUGAGGCACGAAGGCCAGGGGAGCAAACGGG